rnacentral:rRNA from 1 species
CAAUAGCGUAUAUUAAAGUUGUUGCAGUUAAAAAGCUCGUAGUCGAAGCUCGGCCUUUGGGGCGGCUGGUCGAUCGAUGAUUGGACUGGCAGUCGCGAGGCAAACCUUUCCGAUCUGGCGCGUGUGCCCUUUGCCGGGUGUGCGGGCUGGGCGGGACUUUUACCUUGAAAAAAUUAGAGUGUUCAAAGCAGGCGUAUGGCUUGAAUACAUUAGCAUGGAAUAAUGGAAUAGGAUUUUGGUUCUAUUUUGUUGGUUUUAAGGACCAGAAUAAUGAUUAAUAGGGACAGUUGGGGGCAUUCGUAUUCAGUUGUCAGAGGUGAAAUUCUUGGAUUUACUGAAGACGAGCGACUGCGAAAGCAUCUGCCAAGGAUGUUCCCAUUGA